GACGAACGCUGGCGGCGUGCCUAACACAUGCAAGUCGAGCGGGGUUGAAGCGAGGGGUAACUCAAGCUUCUACCUAGCGGCGGACGGGUGAGUAACGCGUGGGCAACCUGCCUCAAGGUCUGGGAUAACAGCUCGAAAGGGCUGCUAAUACCGGAUAUGCCUAUGGCCUCGCAUGGGGCUAUGAGCAAAGGGGAAACCUGCCUUGAGAUGGGCCCGCGUCCCAUCAGCUAGUUGGUGAGGUAACAGCUCACCAAGGCGACGACGGGUAGCCGGCCUGAGAGGGUGACCGGCCACACUGGGACUGAGACACGGCCCAGACUCCUACGGGGGGCAGCAGUGGGGGAUCUUGCACAAUGGGCGAAAGCCUGAUGCAGCGACGCCGCGUGAGCGAAGAAGGCCUUCGGGUUGUAAGCUCUGUCUGGAGGGCGAAGGAAGUGACGGUACCUCCGGAGGAAGGCCACGGCUAACUACGUGCCAGCAGCCGCGGUAAACU
rnacentral:rRNA from 1 species